GAUGAACGCUGGCGGCGUGCUUAACACAUGCAAGUCGAACGGUGAAGCAGGAGCUUGCUCUUGUGGAUCAGUGGCGAACGGGUGAGUAACACGUGAGCAACCAGCCCCUGACUCUGGGAUAAGCGCUGGAAACGGCGUCUAAUACUGGAUAUGUGAUGUGACCGCAUGGUCUGCAUCUGGAAAGAAUUUCGGUUGGGGAUGGGCUCGCGGCCUAUCAGCUUGUUGGUGAGGUAAUGGCUCACCAAGGCGUCGACGGUUAGCCGGCCUGAGAGGGUGACCGGCCACGCUGGGAUUAGGGCACGGCCCAGACUCCUACGGGAGGCAGCAGUGGGGAAUAUUGCACAAUGGGCGGAAGCCUGAUGCAGCAACGCCGCGUGAGGGAUGACGGCCUUCGGGUUGUAAACCUCUUUUAGCAGGGAAGAAGCGAAAGUGACGGUACCUGCAGAAAAAGCACCGGCUAACUACGUGCCAGCCGCCGCCGUAA
rnacentral:rRNA from 1 species